rnacentral:lncRNA from 1 species
GCUAAGGCCAUGACAGCUGUUCCUCCAACACUGAUGAACACUGUGAGGGAAAACUCCACGAGUCAGGCUCAGGGCUUCCCCAAGGCCAGCCUGCUGAGACAGGUUUUGGGGCCGGAGUCAGGGGACCAGGAGGUUCCCUUUUCCUGCUGGAGAGAAGGACUCUUCCAGGUACCCACACUCCCCCCUCCAUGGAUCGAGUCCAACCUAGAAGUUUCAGCAUGUCAACUUUUAUCGAUGAUGGGUUAUAUAAAACCUCCUACAGUCUCAGAUCUGGAAACCACAGUACAGGAGUACAGCACCCGGAAGCUGAACAGCAGGAAGAAGGCCUCUUCAUUCCUGUUUAGAAGAGAAGGAUCUUGUUGCUUGACUUUUCUUGACUAUUGUCUGGCUUUCAUUGAAAGCUUUGGAAGUUCUACCCUAUGUCCGGCGUCCCAGGUCUUGAUGAACAAAAAGGAGUCAGCACCUAAGUUAAUCUUCCUUCUUCAUUUCCAACCACAGCUCAAGGGUUUUGCUGUCUGUCUUUGGAAAUGACUCAACUAACAGAUGGGGGUGGAAAUCUGCACCACGAAAUUAAUUACGCCGCGUCUUCAGGCUUUGUCCUCUCAUUUACUGAAUCGUGUUUAAUUAACAACUCAAGACUGCACCUCCUUGCAGAUGAGUUUGCAUUUCAUGAGAUCAUAAAAUUAAAGAAAAAGUCUGCCAAGCUCACUGCUUGUUAUAGUCCUUGUCCCCGGCCUGACCCUGAUUAC